CCGUAGCGCCGAACGGUCUAACAAUUUUCUCUGAAGAAAAUUUAUUAUAUUUCUUAAUUUUUCUCUGUUGCAAGUAAACAAAAUAAAGAAAAUCUUUAUAACAAAAAAGAAAAUUCUAUUCACACAAACACACACACACAUCUUAAGCAAAAUAAAAAAAAAACGUUUGUACAUUUGUACAGGCGUUGUUAGUUGUUAACAAAAAAAGAAAUUAUUUUAGUUUUUUUUUUAAGAUUUGUUGACAAAAUUUGUUUAAUGUUUGGUUUGUGUGUUUUUUUUUUUAAUUUAAAAAAAAAUUUUGUCAAUUAAUUUAAGCCGGAAUUUGGUACGUGUGCGUUUGUUUUAGAGUGUGCGGUCCAAAAAAACAAAAACAAACAAAUUUGUUAAUAACAAGAAUGUUUAGAGAGAAAAAAAUUGUUUAAACAGCAGCAACAGCAGCAUUAAGAAAAAGUUGUGUUUUAAUGAUAAAUUAAAUACAAAUUUAUAAUAAAUUAAAAAAAAUAUAAAACAAAAAUAAAGAAUACUAAUAACAAAACAACUAAACAGAAAUACCUGAUUAUGACGUUUCAAUUUUAUUAUAAUUAUAAUUCUUAAUCACUUUUUGUUGUGAAAAAAAAUAACAAAAAAUAAAACAACAAAAUAUAAAUAAAUUUUGUUUAUUUAGUUAAAUUUGGCGCGUUUUUUUUUUCUCUAUAAAGUUUAAUAAAAGUUUAAAUAAAAUUUAAACAAAUUUUGUGAAAAGUUUUAAAUUGAACAUGAAAAUUCUUGUCCACCCCGACGUAUGAGUGUUAAGGAAUUAAUGAUUCCACUGUCUUAUAAAUCUGACUGACCAUAUUACUGGUCCUAAGCUAUAAAACUUUAAUAACAACAACAAAUACUUAUGUAUAUAUGAGAGCUGUUUUGGUACUUUUUGAACACACAAAAAAGUACUUUGCUAACUUUUAAAUUGUACAUUCCAACACAGGUGUCUGUAUAAACACUACAACAGGUGGUUAAAUAAAAAUUAAAUGGACAAAAGAUGGAUAAAAAUUAAAUAAAAUUGCUUUUUGUUCUUGUUGUUAUUUUUAUUGAUUGCGGUGUGCGUGUGCGAAUGAGUGUAAACGUUGUGUGCUUGAGUAGCUGAGAGUUGAGUUGUAUUUAAAAGAAAAUAGUACAAGAAGAAAACAAAACAAAAACAAACACAAAACAAAUUGUUAAAAGUAAAAGAAACACAAAAA